rnacentral:tRNA from 1 species
GGUGCGCAGGCGAGGCCUACUUCCACUGUUAAUGGGGUUGUCGCUGGUUCGAGUCCAGCCGGGG